UUUAAGAAUAGCCAUGAGUUUAUAUGUACAAUUUUGAUCGUCCGUUUUAUUUGAAUUUUUUUAUGAUUAAUUUUUUUUAUUGUUAUUAGAUGAUAAAAUAUAAAUAGUAUUUUACGUAUGACUUAUGUUUUUUAUUUUUUUAAAAAAAAUUAAAUAAUACAGAUGAUUAAAAUUGAACACGGAAACUUAUGGUUGUACUUAAA
rfam:Oryza glumipatula chromosome 10, whole genome shotgun sequence.